rnacentral:tRNA from 1 species
GCCUGGGUGGCUCAGUUGGUUAAGUGUCUAACUUUGACUCAGGUCGUGAUCUCACAGUUCAUGGGUUUGAGCCCCGUAUCAGGCU